rnacentral:rRNA from 1 species
GACGAACGCUGGCGGCGUGCCUAAUACAUGCAAGUCGAACGCACUCUCGUUUAGAUUGAAGGAGCUUGCUCCUGAUUGAUAAACAUUUGAGUGAGUGGCGGACGGGUGAGUAACACGUGGGUAACCUGCCCUAAAGUGGGGGAUAACAUUUGGAAACAGAUGCUAAUACCGCAUAAAACCUAACACCGCAUGGGUGUAGGGUUGAAAGAUGGUUUCGGCCAUCACUUUAGGAUGGACCCGCGGUGCAUUAGUUAGUUGGUGAGGUAAAGGCUCACCAAGACCGUGAUGCAUAGCCGACCUGAGAGGGUAAUCGGCCACACUGGGACUGAGACACGGCCCAGACUCCUACGGGAGGCAGCAGUAGGGAAUCUUCCACAAUGGACGAAAGUCUGAUGGAGCAACGCCGCGUGAGUGAAGAAGGUUUUCGGAUCGUAAAACUCUGUUGUUGGAGAAGAAUGUAUCUGAUAGUAACUGAUCAGGUAGUGACGGUAUCCAAACCAGAAAGCCACGG